ensembl:lncRNA
UGGGCUCAGACCUACUGAAAGCAGUCAGGCAUCUCUGACGCCUGUUGAGGAGCUGAGGCACUGGGAUCUUAAGCUGCAUUGUUCCCAGGCUCUUGGGAGAAGCCAUUCAGCACCUGGUGAAGUCGAACAGAUUCUCUAUAACAAAUUUAAAAAGUGCUAUCUGAACUUCCAGUUUCUAGCUUGACCUGUGAAGAAUCUGAAAGUCAUCACUCCCUGACUUCACAAGAGAAAAGGUGAACACACUGAAAAUCAGGCUCUAGAUUCUGUUUAAGGAGUCUCUAAGAAAACUGAAGAUAACAGAGGGGACAAAAAUGAAGAAACCAGAAGAAACCUUCACCCUUUAUACCACAGGGUCAGCAGAUGGUAGACAGAACCUGGUUCCUGGCUAGAUAAACAUAAAACCUCAUGUAAAAGACCUAGCUGCCUCAGUUCUUUGCACUCAAUACAUCAUGCCCAGGUUUCAACAAAAAUUAUAAGGCACUGUAAAAAGCCAUAAAACUCAGUGUGAAGAGACAAGGCAAGCAUUAGAGCCAGACUCAGAGACAAGAAGGAUUUGAAAAUUAUCAGACCAGGAAUUUAAAAAUGGUUCUGAUUAAUAGGCUAAGGGCUCACAUGGAAAAAGUAGAUAAUGUGAAUAUAUGGAUAAUGUAAGCAGAGAAAGACUCCAAAGGAAAUACUAGAAAUGAAAACCACUGUCACAGAAAUGAAGGAUGGUUUUGAUGGGCUCACGAGUCAACUGGAUGCAGCUAGGGAAAGGGUCAGCCAGCUUAAGAUACGUUAGUAAAAACUUCUGAGCAAAAACACAGAAAGAGAGAAUGAAAAAGACAGAAUAGACAUCUGAGAGCUCUAGACAAAUCACAAAAUUCAUAAUACACAUAUUAUGUAAUGGGAAUGCCAACAAUAAAAAGGAGUAGAAAAAGUAUUUGAAGCAAUAAUGACUGAGAAUGUGCCAAAAUUAAUAAUAGACACUGUCUUAGUUACUUUUCUUGUUGCUGAGACAAAAUAUCUAAUACCCAAAGUUAAAGGAGGAAAAGUUUAUUGUAGCUCACAGUUUAUAGAGGUUUCAGCUCAUAGUUGCCUAGCUCCAAGACAAGGUGGUGUGGCAGAGGGGCAUUGCAGAGGAGAAACAGUUCAUGGCAGGCAGAAGGCAGUAAAGCAGAGAAGUAGGGAAGCAGCAGCAGUAGGCAGGCCUUUUUUUUUGUCACUUUAUAUCCAUCCAGGCUGCCCGCCUUUUGGGUGGUGUCACCCACACCCAGGGUGGGUCUUCCCAUUGUCCAUACCUAAAACUAUGCCAGUGGACUAAUUAAGUAAUCACACUUUUUUGGGGGGCGGGUACCAGGGAUCGAACUCGGGUCCUUGAGCUUGCACAGCAGACAGUGAAACCACUGAGCUAAAUCCCUGGCCCUAAUGACACAUUUUUAAUCCUAGCAUCACACACUUAAUUCCAGCAUCAUAUUCCUUAGAUCCAGCUACCUCUGAAAAGCCCCACGUGUGAUCACAUGAGGCUUUGGGGGAACAUUGAGACAGAAGUCAUUACAGACAUCAAAUAACAGAUCCAAAUGACAAAAAUUAGGGAAAUUUUUCAUAAAGAGACCUGCCUUGCCAGAAAUGUUUAAGGAGUUUUUCAGAAAGAAUGAAAAGGAUAGAAGUGAGAAACUUAGAUCUACAUGAAGAAAAAAGUGUUACAGAAGGAAGGAAGGAAGGCAGGCAGGCAGGCAGGCAGCAAGCUGGACCCCAUACUUACAUCAAAGAUGCAAGUCACCGCAAACACCACUGUUACCACCAGAGUCAAGCUCUGGGAAGGCACACUGUGCCACUGGAACUGCCCUGGCUGAAGAAGAACUCAGGUGCAUCCAGGUACAGUAACAAAUGCACACCUGUAAUCCUAGCACUUUGGAAAGUAGAGUCAGGAAGAUCACAAGUUUGAUCCAGACUGGGUAAUCUAAUGAGACCCUGUCUCAAAAUAAAAAAUAAGAAGAGCUGAGAUACUGGUCAGUGUGAAGGCCCUGUGCUCAAUCCCCCAGUACAAAAACAAAACAAAACAAAAACAAAACCCAGGCUUUCAGAAGAGCCUACAGAUGCAAGAAACUAAACAUGGCUUCUCUUGUGUUCAAUCUCUUAUUAGCUUCUCCUAGAUAAUCAGAAUAGUCUACCUUUCAGGCUUCUCAGCACCACUCUACCCAAUUUACAGGUCCACACAGCAGGCUUUGCAAUAUCAUGCAUCUGCCUCCAGGCAUGCAGAUAUUCUAAUCAAGAUGAAGACAGAGGCCCCUGGCCCUCUUCCCUAAAAGAGAAAGCACAAAACCAAUCCUAUCUGUCACCAUAUCCACUUCUAGGAGGCAUUAAUUCUGUGCUUAGUUCAGCCACAAUCCUAUCUGAAUGAUCUAUAAUCCAAAGAAUAAAUUAUGAUGUUAACAGUCAAACAAACAAAACAGACUGAUCUGUAGCUGACUGAGGGAUGGGGCGUGGAGGUGGAGCUCAACUACUACAUUCUUUAUCAAUUCCUUCUUCAAAUAUGCACUUAGUUUUUAGGUGAGUACUUAGUCAUUGUGGUGUUUGGAAAUUUAGAUGAAAAUAUUCAAGUGGGUUUUAAGAAUAUUCAGUUCUCUUGAUUUUUGUUUUUCUUUUUCUUUUUGACCCAUCUAAUUCUUAAGUAUUUCAGGAGCCAGCAGGACAUAAAUGAAACAAGAAAAUUAGGAUAACUUGAGGAGCAGAGGAAGGAAAAAAGAGCAGAAUCCUGGAACCAGUUACAGCACAGCCAUUCCCACCCCUGAGACCAGAGGGACAGAUGACAAUUAGAAAGGAAAAUAAAUAGUAAAACAAAUAUUUCGAUCUUCCCAGUGGUAGAAUGGUGGGUGCCAGGUGCAGGCAAUAGAGCAAGAUACACUCUCUUCCCUUCCCAUCGGACUUUGAAGGCAGAUGGAACACAGAUACACUCAACAAAUGACUACACACAGAAAUAUCACAGUGGCUCCAUUUCCUGAAUGAAAAACAGCAGAGUCCAUGAGAGAUUCUAGCGGGUGGAGGACCUGGUUCUGGCCAUCAAGGAAGGAGAUGCUGGGAAAGCGAUGUUUGGCUGAAGUUCACUGCACAUGGAGGAGUUUCCAGGGCAGGAGGGACGUGAGUGAGAUGGACCAGACCACGCAUGUGGAGACCUUGACCUUUGCAAGGACGUGAAAAUUCCUCUGUUGGGGAAGCGCAGAGGGGCGGAGGCUCUGGAGAGAGAGAGAGAGAGAGAGAGAGAGAGAGAGAGAGAGAGAGAGGAGGACCUGGGCUGGGAAAUGAGGAGGGCCCGAAUCCUGCCUGGGAACCUGAAGCCUCAGGGUUGGAGAUUUGGAACUCAGACAAAAACAGAAAAAUCACAACAGGAUUUUAAUGGAGAUGCCAGGAUGUGUCUGCAUUUUCGAUAAAAGAUCCUUAAAGACAAGGGCUGAUUUUGCUUAUUUUCUAAUCCUGCCUGAUACCUUACACCCAAUUGGUGUUUGGCAUAUUUGUUAUUCUGUGAGAAAGGUAUUUUAGAAGUUGUGUUUAAUAGUAGAAACUGAGGCAGAGGGUGUGAGAUUAUAUUAGAGAUGAAGCAAUGGCUGCUUUUGGUCCAGAAAUCUGUUUUCUCUGAUUAUCAUAUGUCAGGGUCACAUAGAAUAUAAAAAGAUGCAAUUGUUUAAACCAACAUAGCAUCAGCAUAAAGCACAUUAUUUGAGGUGUGCACUGGUUAAAACCAUGAGCUAGGAAAUAAGACAGCCUAAAUUUGAAUCUACUACAGUACUACUUAUGAGCUGUAUGUCUCCGGGCAAGUUACUCAGGCCUUUGGGCCUGCCUUUUAUCUGUAAAAGGAGAGUAUAAUAAUAGUACGUAAUUCGUCUCUUUGUUAUGAAGAUUAAAUAAGUACAUGAAAAGCAUGUCAACGGCUGCCUGGCACAGUUAAAUGCUCAGUAAAUGUCACUUAUUAUUUAAUUGCACACAAAUUUCAUGGUGCAUAUAAAAAGUUUCUUUCCCUGAGUUUAAAAUAAUUUGCUCUUUAAAGCAUCCCUCUUCCUAGAUUCCUAAUAGUGGCUGCUGUUUGUUCUCAUAAUAAUUAUAUAAUGGCAACAUGACUUUUGCAGAAAUGUUUAAUGCAAUAGUUUUUGGUUAGGCUUAUUACACCAAGUAGUAAGAAUUUGUCUCCCUAAUAUUAAAUUGUUUCCUGGUACAUUCUGGGUAGUGCCAUUUAGGAAAUGUUUAAAGCUAAUAACUCAUAAACCCAUGGUGUGAUUUUCCUUGAUUUCCAGAUCCUUAGAGGCGUUAUGGAACAAAUAUGGAGUUCAUAAACAGGCUUUUUUUUUUCUUCUUGUCCAUUUCUUGCAACUCCUCCCCCAUUCUCCCUCAUGUGUUUAUAAGUGAAAAUGGACAAUCACGUGUGAACAUUCACACAAAUGUAUCAUUUGAAGCUUACAGAGGUUAAAACUUAUUCCUUCGCUCAGUAGACAAGAUAUUCAUUCUUUUUCUCCUGGCUGCAAAACCAGAUCCUGAUCUCUAGUUUCAUAAAUCAUUCUCCAACUGGCCCAUGAUACACAAAAAUCAAAGGAAAAGUUAGCACUGAACCGGUUACAGAUUAGAAAUCAGG